AAUACUUUCAUAUCCCCCUUCAACAGCUUGCUCCCAAUGCCUUCUAUUCGAUGUGCAAAAUAGCGAUAUUAUUCUGUCUUUAUGAUAUUCCCCUGACCCCUCGCAUUUUUCACUUUUGUUAUUAACACAAAAAAUCAUAGCCCAGAGUAUUUUUGUUUCAAUCCCGUCCUAAGUAAGUCUUCUUCAAAGACAUAUCUUCAUCUAAUAAGGGAUGGAAAUCUCUUUUUUUUUAUUCAAGUGUCAAAUUCAGUCUCUUGACCGAUCGUCUGGCGAAUGAAUCUUCCCCCUAUUCUCGAUUUAGAAGAUCAUCACCAAGACCCUACUUUUAUUUUUUGCUUCAGGGAAAUUGGCUAGUCUGCAAUUCCGCACCCCUUAGCUGCUGCGGGAGGUCCUUCUGUAUAUGUUCAGACUGAGCCUAGUCUAAACGGCGCUUCCCUUAUCUUUUGGUAAGAUUUAGUAAUUUAGUUUUCAUGCUAUUACUAAUUGAGGUCUUUUUUAUUUGGUGCAGCGGAAACCAUGUUCAAGGUCAUGUCUUCUGAGUCUUUGCGACUACAAGAGGCUAAACUAAAUCGAUGGGGAAAAGCCUUCUUGACCAAACGAGCAAAUGAGCCGACUGGCCCUUCUGCAAACGCAUUUAGUAGCCGAGCGAGCAACAAUGGCAUGAGCAUCAGUGAGGAAAGAAUACUACCUCCUGACCCUCUUAUUGCUCCGGAGGAAGCUCCUACUGAGGAGUCUGAGCUUCCGCAUUACCCCCACAAUACGACCAUCUCCUGAGCGGCCACCCUCUGUUGUUAUGCCUCCGAGAUCCUUAUCGGCUGGGGAAAGCACCAUGGCUCCUCCCAGGCAUAGUCCUUCCACUUUGCAAUCUUGUAGCCUAGUCCAUGGGGAGAUGGCUUCCCAACCGGGUAGAUCUCCCAUUGCCUACACACCUUGAGUGCCAUCCCUUUCUCUGUUCAUCCUUCCCGUGGUAGGGUCCUCCAAGUCGUUCAGCAAAUCAAAAGGUCACUAUUGAUUUUCCUCCGCCUUCAACAUACCAUCUGUCCAAGGAGCGAUGUCACCUCUAGAUCCCUCUCUACCCUGUGAGCAAGUGUGCUUGAGGGGUCUGCUAUUGGAGGUCUGGGAAGGUGCGGCAACCCAAUUUUUAGACCGCCUGAUGAUCGAGUUGGUAGACAAUUUUUCCCAAGAUCUCACGCGUGUUGGGUGACUGGGAUGAGCGUAGCCCAAGCUAUGGUGCGGCUAGAAUGCAAAAAUGAGACAUUUCGAGGGAGGAUAUUAACACUAGAGUCUUCUCAAGCCUCCGCCCAGAUCCUCGACUUGACUACACCACAAGGGGCACAAACAUAGGCUGAGCUACUAGGCGAGCUAGAGCAAAAGGCUCAAGAGCUGGUCCACACUGAAAUAGAAAGAUCACAAAGGAUGGAGGCUGCCCUGAAAACUAGUGAUGGUAAACUCUGAUCGAAAAGCAUAAGGAGGGUUCAGGUAGCAACUAUUCUAAACAAGAAAACUCUUGAAGCCCAGAACCUCUCCAACAAAUUAAAGGAGCAGGAGGAUGCCCAUGCCUCAGAGCUAUCUAUUAAAGAUGCCAAGUUGGUUGCCCAGGCUUUGCUGGUGUCCAAUCAACAAAAUAAUGUGGAAGUCCAAAAAGCACAGCUAGAGUCUUUGCAAGUUGAGCUGGAGGCUACGAGGUCAGAAUUGACGACCUCUAAAUCUAAGUUGAUGGGGACCACCUCUACACUGACAGCAUCCCGGAUUGAGCUGGCAGAAUAUUAAGCCAGGGAAGAUAAGCGAUUCGACGCUAAGAAAGCGUCCUACCUUUAAUCCUGUAACUUUCAUUUGUAGCUCGACUCCUGCGUUACUCAGAUGUUCACUUAUGGAGCUGAAGGAGCCAUUAAAUAACUGCGGGAGGCCGACUACCUAGUCUCUGAAACCCCGGAUCAUUUUUUGAACUAGCAAAGCCUUUUGGACAAGCUCCUUGAAGAUGUCGUCCCAAAAUUCAAGUAAUUCUCCUCAAUUCAAUCAAUUAUGUAUUUAAGCCUUGUCAAGGCAAAAACAAGCAUUUCCUGAGUCAUGUUUGUAAACUUACUAUCUUUUAACCGCUUGUCUCCUA